AAGCACGAUUACGAACUAUAACAUUUACAGGUUUAUGAGAGGACUUAGAAGUAAUAGAUCGAUCAGAAGAAAAACCAUGCGGUACGGUGAUGGGUACCAAGCCUAUUCUUUUAAACUCUAUUUGAUGCCUUAAGAAAUCGUAAGUAUAAGGCCGGGUUUGCUCAGGACGUCUAGGGCGAAAAUCUCUUUUAACAACAACCGCUUCGUGUUCG